GCCAUAGUGACUGUAGCCAAGCCAAUAAAAGAAGCUUAUAAAAGUGAGUGUAGUUCCAGGGAGGGUGAAGUUUCAGGACUGGCCAAGCAGGGGCCUCAGGGUGACACCAGGGUCCUGGCCGGAUUCUGCUCUGUAUUCAUCUCUGACGCUGCUCAGCUCUAAGCGAAAGACAUGAGGCCUCAGCCUGACAUGAGGUGGUUUUGAGGUCAUCCGAUUUCUGGCUAGAAGUGUGCUGUCGCCUGGUCCUGAGACCACGUCACACAGAAUGGUUUGCAAUUUUUUUUGGUGAUGGCAUGUUCAGAAUCUUGGAUCCCUAAGUUGAAUAUGUUGGAAAUAUUUAGGAAUCUUGGAAAUUAUAUGAUUACUUAGUAGGUGAAAUAGUAAAUUCAAUAAAAGUCUAUAAAAGAACUUUGUCCUUUUAAGUUGGCAUGCAUGUCUGAAAUUAUCAGCUGUCAGUAUUAGUGUCAUACUCUUUUGAGGGUUUGGGGUUUGUAUUUUCCAAGGAAGUUAUGUAACUCCUCCCAUGCCUGUUCGGUUAGCUUCGCUUCUUUUCUCUCUACCUUAAGUGUAUGUUACUUGGAUCACAGUGCUUCUUGAUCAGAACUGAAGAAGAGGGGGAAAAAAUCAAGUGACAAUCGUAAAGGUGGUAAUUAUGAAAUUUCAACCUGGAGAUCAUCUGUAUUAGAAUAUGAAAAUUCUACCCAAAUUUACCCAAAUACACUUGUGGUAAAAUGCUUCUAGUUUUCAAAAUUAGAUAUUAUCAUACAGGACAGGAAUGCUAAUGAGGAAAGAAAACAGCUGUUCGUUUUUCACCUCUUUGCUCCCCCUUCCUCUCUUAUGAGGUGAAUUAGCUACAUACUAGCUAAAAGGUAGGUGAUGUGAAUAAAAAGGAAGCGAAGGGAAAUAACUUGGGUCUCCAGGAAGGAUCAGUUUCCCUGCAGAGUUGAAAGGUUACCAUCUCCCGUGUAGCUGAACACACUUUCCGGUUGUGGGCUACUCCUGUGAGCCUGGACCAUGGCCAAGGGUGGCUUUGACCGGGGGUGGAUGGAGAGCUGGUAUUUCAUAGUACCAGACAGCCCAUGAGGGGCUGUAGGGCCAGUCUUUCCUCAGCCUCGCCUGUUCCUGCUGGGAUUAAGAAACCUGAGAACGUGCUGGGGGAGACAGUUGUACGGUGAUCGAAUACAGGUGCCUCCCUGCUCUUGUGCCCCAAACUGGCUAAGACUGAUUUUUAAGACCACAGUGAGAAACAACUUGGAAAUGGAUUGAAGGGGAAGGAUGAAGACAAUAGGGAACUUGAGACUGAUGACAGCUUGGGAGAGUAUUCACGUAUGAAUUUAUUGCAAGGUUUGUUGGUGGAUCAUCCAGAAUUCAUGAAAUCAAUGUACGUCUGCAGUGGGCAUUUCUUCAGAUUUCUUUUGGAAAGCUUUUAGAGGCUGAAGGGCUGCCCAUUACCCCUGCUCCCUUUUUUGUUUUGCUUUAUUACAAGAGAAAUUGGCCAUUGUAUGUUUAAUAGCAGGCACAAUACAAACAUUAGAUUUUAUUUUAAAAUCAAAUUGUAUUUUAAUCUAAACGUGUGUUUCCUGUUUAGCUGUUUUCCCAUUACAACUGGCUUUUUAAAAACUCUCCUUGUGUGAUACUUUUGUCAAUAGAGGUGUUUCCUCUUAGCCAAUUCUAGCCACAGUAUUGAUGAGACCUAGGCAUUUGAUAUACCCAGAAGGAAUUAUCCAAGCAGGAAAAAACUCAGUCUCUACUGGAAUGAAUAUUUCAAAGGCCUUCUUAGAUUCUGAAAACUGUGAGUACAAAUGAAAGAGACCCAAGAGAGGGCAAAACCUAAGAAUCUUACAAUAAGAGGUGGGGGUGGGUAAGGGUAAAUUUCAUAGAGCUAACCUGAAAUGCACUAAGGGGAGGGAAUUACUUUCCUGGAGAGAUAAGAAGGCGUGUGGGAUGCCUUAGUAAGACGCAUUUUGUUGUUUUGGGUAACACACUAGCUUUCUGCAGUAUUUGAAGCAUAGUGAUGUGGUCUUUGGAAAUACCGAGGCAUUUCCAAACACUGAGUAUGAUUUUAUUCCGGUAUGUUCUAAAGGGGUGUAUGGCUCAUUUGCUUCAUUCCAGAAAGUACAUUGGAUAUUAGACAUACGAACAAAGUUGUGUUGUCCUUGUAUAACUCAAGAAAUAGAGUGGAAUACUGAGCAUUACCGAGAAUUUAGUGCAUGCAUAUAAUCAGUGUUUGAUGGUUGUUUCCUAGGAACUUUGGAAUGAAAUUUUCUAUUUGUCUUAUGUCAGCCUAAGUUACAUUGUGAGAGCAUUUUAGUGUGUGUCUCGUUGGAAGUGUGUACAUUCCUGAGCCACUGCACUUCAUAACCCAGCACAUUGCUGACAAAGUCUCACUGUUUAUCCCUGGAGGAAUCGAGAGAGUUGGAACACCGAGCACAGGGCGACCCAGAGGAAGUGAGCUACAGCGAUGGCCCUUUUGUUUUGGAGUUUCAGACAAACUCCUAUGAGACAUGUAAGAAAAGCCAGGGUUCCUCUUGGCAAGAAGACUGCGCAGACCUGGUGUUUCCCUGCAGUUUCCAGGUGUGCAGGGGCUGCUCGCUGCCGAGUGUCAGGAAGCCCUGCUGUGAAAGGUCCUCUUCCUGUACUUUUUUCCUUGUUCCAACUUUGUUCUGGCUCUCUCAGUGAUUCCCUGCCGCCUUAGAAUGGGACAUCCGUCUGGAAGGAUGCUACUGUCUCGGCACAGAGACCUGCAUCCAUGAGUUGAGAGCUUCACAGUGAAUCGGCCAAAACUCUCUGCGAAGGGUGCAUGGAGCACCGUGCAAGAGAAAAUCAGAGGCUGAGGCUCCUGCUGAUGAAAGGAUUGUUUCAGAAUAUGUUGAAUAUUGAUGUUUUUAAAAUGAGCUUGCUAAAAUUCCUGAUGAAUAUGAACUUUUCUCCUUGAGUCCUUCUCAUGUCCCAGGAUGUCAGAUUCAUGCUGUAAAUUGUGUAUGUCAAAUUAAAAUAGAGAUUAGAAAUUCGGAGUUCUGUUGUUUUGUGACUUGAAUUUGCAGCACAUUUUCAGAAAAAUUGUCAAGAUUCACAGAUAAUUUCAUUUUUAUUCCUUUCUUUCCAAGUGUAUGAUUAUUGGUCAGUUUUAUUUAACUCAUUUAUAAAUUUAGACAAUAUUAUCAGUACAUAUUUUGACACAGAAUGGAUGCAUUUGAGUUAUAUUACUAGAAACAUAUUUCAGCAACAAAAAUGUCCUUUGCCUAGCUCCGAUCUCCCUUGUGUAACCUCAGCUCACCUGCUUGCCGUGUUGCUCACUGGGAAUUUCCUACAAAUCCAACUCAGAAGUCAUCCUGGGAAAAUCAAGAGACUGAAGAAACUCUACUCCUGGGACUAAGUAGAUGGAAGAGCAUCUUCAAGGGGUGACGUAGCCCCUUUGAGAAGCACUGCUGUUUGUAUGUGAGACAGAAUGUGUCUUUCUGAAUUGGACCUGUAGACAUGAACUAGCUUUAUAGCCAUGUGCCUUCAGUGUUAGCAAAGUAGAACUCCCCUCUGAGACACUUCCUUCAGUAUAGUCUGGUGGAGGGGAGUCUGGAUCAGUAGGCCAACUGAAAGUUAGAUAUCAUAGUUCAGGAUUUGAAGGUAUUUUUUUAGUUCCUUUGAGAGUAUAAUGUUCUGGGCUUCCACAGUGUGUGCUUCACAAUUUCACCUCCCCAGAGAGGGUGACUCAGGGGAGGAGCCCAAGUUCAUCCACACCUCAGAUACCAGUGCUCUGUCCUCGGAGCUAUCCCAUACCGGUAAUGUGAAUGUACACAAGGGACUCAUCCGCCUGCCCAUUCUUCCCAAGUGAUGGUACUGUUUAUUUCCCAGCCUGCCCGAUUUCAACCCCUUCGUCUAAGAUAGAAGCAUCACCUGCAGUUGAGCCUUCUUCCCACCGCAGUGUUGGAUUUUGUCCUGCUGAAGACAGGAGCUCUGCAGCUUCUUUGCUGUAAAGAGUCUGGCUUUUAUUUCCAUCUCCCAGAGGUGGGGAUCUUGGCUGUCUAAGGUUUGUUUGUGGGCUUCUAUGUCUUAAGUUCCCAGCAUUGUAUUGUAAAGGUGGCCUUUUGUUAGAGCAGUGAAGUAGCCGCCUUGGCUCUGUGCUCUGCACUGGCCAGAGCUAGACCACAUUCACCUGAGGCCAGGAGGGACCUGGCAUCCACCAGGCAUGGGAGGCUCACAACUGACCUUGGAAGGUGCUAGAGUGGUCAGGUGGAGGAGGUAAUGAGAUCACCUGUUUCCUUGUGUGCUGGUAAAAACAUGCAGAGGAAGUGGUUGUGUCAAGAUUUUGAUGGCAAGAUUUGCCAGAAAAUAAGACAUCUUUUUAGGCCCACUAUUCAUGUCUUCAAAAAAAAACUUUAAAAAGUACCAUAUUAUACUGAUAUAAUAAAAAUACUACUAUAAAAUUUCACGUACAGUUUUCGUAAUCACUGUAUAUGUGUUGUGUGUAGAAGGAUACCCUAAUAACUUUCUGACUCUUGCUCUGAUAAAAACUAAAUGGUCUAAUUACUUAAAACCUAAUAGUUGCAUUUUUGAGAAAAAUUUUAAAGCAUGACUAUUGUUACUUUUCCUAUAGUGUACAAAUAUUCUCAGAAGCUGCUUGCCUCUGUGUGUGUGUGUGUGUGUGUGUUUAUGUGUGUGAGAAAAUACUGUAAUCACAGUCCGUCUAUUAAGUGAGAGUCUGAACUUUGUAUUUACCGAGUGGGGGACUUGAAAUGUCCAUUAAGCAAUUCUGUGUAUAUGGUAAACUUUGAAUAAAGUAACUGUACUCUGAA